rnacentral:lncRNA from 1 species
ACUGUUUAUACCCCCGCUUUAAAUUAUACCCCCGCUUUAAAAAAGGGGGGGUAUACUGUUUUACCUCUGUCUGUCAGUCCGUCCGUCAGUCCGUCCGUCCAUCAGUCCGUCCGUCCGUCCGUCAGUCAGUCCGUCCCAUGAAACUUUCGUCACAUUUUUCUCAGGAACUACACAUCCACCCUUUCUGUAAUUUGGUAUCAACAUUUAUAUAUGUCAGCCAUACCGUGUGAUGCGUUUUCAGAUUCAUCACUUGACAACUUCCUGUUUACCGAAUACUUGUCUGAUUUUACACAUGAUAGCCAAGUUGAAAAUUUUCGUCACAUUUUUCUCAGGAACUACAAUACAAGGAUUUCUGAAAUUUGGUUUCAGGAUUUAUAUAAGUCAGCUAUACCGUGUGAUGCGUUUUCAGAUUCAUCACUCGACAACUUCCUGUUUACCGAACACUUGUAUGAUUUUACACAUGAUAGCCAAGUUGAAAAUUUUCGUCACAUUUUUCUCAGGAACUACAAUACAAGGAUUUCUGAAAUUUGGUUUCAGGAUUUAUAUAAGUCAGCUAUACUGUGUGAUGCGUUUUCAGAUUCAUCACUCGACUACUUCCUGUUUACCGAACACUUGUAUGAUUUUACACAUAAUAACCAAGUUAAAAAUUUUCGUCACAUUUUUCUCAGGAACUACAACACAAGGAUUUCUGAAAUUUGGUUUCAGGAUUUUUAUAAGUCAGCUAUACCGUGUGAAGCGUUUUCAGAUUCAUCACUCGACAACUUCCUGUUUACCGAACACUUGCAUAUUUUUACACUAUUAAUAUUAUCCACUUGCGGCGGGGGUAUCAUCAUUGAGCAGUAGCUCGCAGUUUCACUUGUUGGUGGUGCUUAUAUUUUUCUUUAGUGAAAUAUACCCUGAGAUCCCUGGACUAAUGCAUAUUGGACCACAGUUGCUUUUGGAAUAAACAGGCCUUACAAACCAAAUAAGAACUCCAUAGACUAUUUUAGACCCACUACCCAUCCUUUGAACCAUUGGAAGGAAAGCUACCUCCCAAGUUGCAAAAUUUUUUUUUGGUGGUGCUUAUAUUUUUAUCAAAUAAAAUAUUAUAUAAUAGAUCCCUUGACUUUUAGAGUGGAUCAAAGUUGCCUGUGGACCAAUGAGCCUUACAAACCAACUUAAAAUCCAAAAGAGUAUUAAGACCCCUAUACCCAUCUGUUGGACCAAAAGGAAGGGAAGCUAACUCUCUUUUUGGUGGUGCUUAUAUUUUUCUUUAGUGAAAUAUACCCUGAAACCCUGGACUAAUGCAUAUAGGACCACAGUUGCUUUUGGACCAAUGAGCCUUACAAACCAACUUAGAACACCAAAGAGCAUUAUAGAUCCUUUUACCUGAUUGUUGGACCAAUGGGUGGGAAACCACCUCCCGUGGUGCUAAGUCA